UAGGGAAUCUUCCGCAAUGGCCGCAAGUCUGACGGAGCAACGCCGCGUGAGUGAAGAAGGAUUUCGGUUCGUAAAACUCUGUUGUUAGAGAAGAACAGCGCAUAGAGUAACUGUUAUGCGUGUGACGGUAUCUAACCAGAAAGCCACGGCUAACUACGUGCCAGCAGCCGCGGUAAUACGUAGGUGGCAAGCGUUGUCCGGAUUUAUUGGGCGUAAAGCGAGCGCAGGCGGUUAGAAAAGUCUGAAGUGAAAGGCAGUGGCUCAACCAUUGUAGGCUUUGUAAACUGUUUAACUUGAGUGCAGAAGGGGAGAGUGGAAUUCCAUGUGUAGCGGUGAAAUGCGUAGAUAUAUGGAGGAAAACCGGUGGCGAAAGCGGCUCUCUGGUCUGUAACUGACGCUGAGGCUCGAAAGCGUGGGGAGCGAACAGG
rnacentral:rRNA from 1 species